UACGUAGGGCGCAAGCGUUGUCCGGAAUUAUUGGGCGUAAAGAGCUCGUAGGCGGCUUGUCGCGUCGUCCGUGAAAACCAGGGGCUCAACCCCUGGCUUGCGGUCGAUACGGGCAGGCUAGAGUUCGGUAGGGGAGACUGGAAUUCCUGGUGUAGCGGUGAAAUGCGCAGAUAUCAGGAGGAACACCGGUGGCGAAGGCGGCAUCCUGGACCGGUAUUGACGCUGAGGCGCGAAAGCUAGGGGAGCAAACGGG
rnacentral:rRNA from 1 species